rnacentral:rRNA from 1 species
GAUGAACGCUGGCGGCGUGCCUAAUACAUGCAAGUCGAGCGAACAGACGAGGAGCUUGCUCCUCUGACGUUAGCGGCGGACGGGUGAGUAACACGUGGAUAACCUACCUAUAAGACUGGGAUAACUUCGGGAAACCGGAGCUAAUACCGGAUAAUAUAUUGAACCGCAUGGUUCAAUAGUGAAAGACGGUUUUGCUGUCACUUAUCGAUGGAUCCGCGCCGCAUUAGCUAGUUGGUAAGGUAACGGCUUACCAAGGCGACGAUGCGUAGCCGACCUGAGAGGGGGGUCGGCCACACUGGAACUGAGACACGGUCCAGACUCCUACGGGAGGCAGCAGUAGGGAAUCUUCCGCAAUGGGCGAAAGCCUGACGGAGCAACGCCGCGUGAGUGAUGAAGGUCUUCGGAUCGUAAAACUCUGUUAUUAGGGAAGAACAAAUGUGUAAGUAACUAUGCACGUCUUGACGGUACCUAAUCAGAAAGCCACGGCUAACUACGUG